rnacentral:lncRNA from 1 species
AGGACCAGUGUGUGGACCUUACAAGGCCGAUUGUGGAUGUUACUGAGUGGAGAGGUGGGUCCCCCGUCUCCCCCGUCUCCCCCGUCUCUGAUGGCAGUGGGGAGAACAGAAGCCCCUCCCUGACCCACAACACCCACAGCUCCCUCAACGCCCAGGAGGAGGAGCAGGAGCUGGCCUGCUUCCAAGAGCCCCCACAGGAGAAACUCCUCUCCGGCCUCAAGGGACACUCAACUAGUAAGGACAACUACCAUGUCUGGGGUGUAGGAGAAAUUAAGUGAAAGACAGCCUUUUUAUAUAUUUCUGUGUGUGUUUGUGUGUGUUUCUCUCUCUCUCCCUCUCCCUCUCUCUCCCUCUCCCUCUCUCUGUCUCUCUGUGUCUCUCUCUCUCUCUCUCUCUCUCUCCCUCUCUCUCUCUCUCCCUCUCUCUCUCCCUCUCUCCCUCUCCCUCUCUCUCUCUCUGUUUGCAAUGUUCUAUGGCAUGCUGUUGUUGCUAGUGGCUAAUGGUGGUUGCUAGUGGCUAAUGGUGGUUGUAGAAAUGGCGGUUAACUUCCUCGCUGAUGACUAAACUCCAGUAAUAUACCACGCCGGACUUAAUGGUAGUUCAGGAAAUGAUUUGACACGGCUGAUGUUAGUCACUGUUGUUGUGCUUGUAGUGCCCAUAGUAAUGUGUCAGUUGGUGAUGUGGUAUUCCUUGUCAGAUGACAAUGGGGUGGCCUCGGGACGGAAUGGCCAGACUCAGGCCUCAGAUAAUGAGGUGUGCUGUGGCUCCUCCGAACAUCCCGCUCCAGAGGAAGGUGCUGCAGUUCCCAGGAUCCCGCUGGCAAAGCCUGAAGGAGGCCGAGCCAGAAGGCAGAAUCCACAGGGAGGGACCAAGGCCGUUCAGUGUGGGAAUCGCAGUCCCCCCUGCACUGAGGCACAUGGUACAGUCCGGCCAGACCAGAGCUCAGACCAGAUGGAAGGUAGUAGCUCACUUGGAACAGAACUGUGUUGCCAUGGAGAGGGAGACUACACAGACACUCAGAGGAGCAAGGCUGUUGCCAUUGGAAAUAUAAACAAGGAUAUCACCAUGGUGCUCACGUGUCUACAGGCAGACAUGCAUGAUGUGCUGCAGAGAUUGAACACUCUUGAGGCCCUGAGCGCGUCACAGAUGAAGUCCUUAGUGCUCAGAAAGGAACAACUUAUGAAUGAAACCAAAAAGGUAACAUUGUAUAAAAGAGCAGUACUACAGUAUGCCCUUUCUUGUGUUUGA